GCCGCCGCCUCCGUCACCGCCGAAUUCUCCAUUAGGGCCACCACCACCUCCUCCGGCCGCAAAGGAAGCGGCGGAGCUGGAGAAGCAGCGCAGGGGAGAACGGAAUGCAGACAAGGCCCUGAGAGAAGGGGAGGAAAGGUUUGGAGAGGUGAGGCGAGAGCGAAGGCAUUGGGAGAAGAGGGCUUUGGGGAAACGGCGGUGAAGGCUUGAGGUGAAGAAGAAGGGAUUGGAGGUGGAGGCUAGGGUUUUGGACAUUGUGCAGAGUGUUGACUCCAUUGGAGAGUUUCAAAGCUGAAUGUCGCUCUGUCUGCUUCUGCAAGGUUCAAAGCGGAUUAUCUUUUCUGACUUGUUCAGGU
rnacentral:lncRNA from 1 species